rnacentral:ncRNA from 2 species
CAACGUUCUCAGGGCGGGGUGCGAUUCCCCACCGGCGGUAAUGGCGCGCAAUGCGUCUAGCCCGCGAGCGCUCGCUCAGGCGAGGUCAGCAGACCUGGUGUGAUUCCAGGGCCGACGGUCAUAGUCCGGAUGAAGAGAGAACGGGA